CCUACGGGUGGCAGCAGUGAGGAAUAUUGCACAAUGGAGGAAACCCUGAUGCAGCGACGCCGCGUGAAGGAAGAAGUAAUUCGUUGCGUAAAGCUCUAUCAGCAGGGGAGAAAAUGACGGUACCUGAGUAAGGAACCCCAGCUACCUACGUACCAGCAGCCGCGGUAAUACGUAGGGGGCAAGCGUUAUCCGGGUUUACUGGGGGUGAAGGGAGCGUAGACGGGGCGCCAAGUCUGGAGUGAAAUGCCGCAGCUUAACUGCGGAACUGCUGUGGAACCUGGAGACCUGGAGUGCGGGAGGGGUAAGCGGAAUUCAUAGUGUAGCGGUGAAAUGCGUAGAUAUUAGGAGGAACACCGGUGGCGAAGGCGGCUGACCGGACCGUAACUGACGCUGAGGCUCGAAAGUGUGGGGAGCAAACAGGAUUAGAUACCCUAGUAGUC
rnacentral:rRNA from 1 species